rnacentral:rRNA from 1 species
UACAGAGGGUGCAAGCGUUGUUCGGAAUCAUUGGGCGUAAAGCGGGUGUAGGUGGAUUUGUAAGUCAGGAGUGAAAGCCCCAGGCUUAACCUGGGAAGUGCUUUUGAUACUGCAAAUCUUGAAUGUGGGAGAGGAUGGUGGAAUUCCUGGUGUAGUGGUGAAAUACGUAGAUAUCAGGAGGAACUCCGGUGGUGAAGGCGGCCAUCU